GUUAAUGUAGCAGAGCCCGGCUAUGCAAGAGAUCUAAGCCCUCUUCACGGGGGUUCAAAUCCCCCCAUUAACU
rnacentral:tRNA from 1 species